rnacentral:tRNA from 1 species
UGGGUUGUGGCUCAGUGGUAGAGUGCUCACCUUGCAUGUGUGAAGCCCUGGGUUCAAUCCUGAGCACCACAU